GAUGAGCGCUGGCGGCGUGCCUAAUACAUGCAAGUCGAGCGAACGGACGAGAAGCUUGCUUCUCUGAUGUUAGCGGCGGACGGGUGAGUAACACGUGGAUAACCUACCUAUAAGACUGGGAUAACUUCGGGAAACCGGAGCUAAUACCGGAUAAUAUUUUGAACCGCAUGGUUCAAAAGUGAAAGACGGUCUUGCUGUCACUUAUAGAUGGAUCCGCGCUGCAUUAGCUAGUUGGUAAGGUAACGGCUUACCAAGGCAACGAUGCAUAGCCGACCUGAGAGGGUGAUCGGCCACACUGGAACUGAGACACGGUCCAGACUCCUACGGGAGGCAGCAGUAGGGAAUCUUCCGCAAUGGGCGAAAGCCUGACGGAGCAACGCCGCGUGAGUGAUGAAGGUCUUCGGAUCGUAAAACUCUGUUAUUAGGGAAGAACAUAUGUGUAAGUAACUGUGCACAUCUUGACGGUACCUAAUCAGAAAGCCACGGCUAACUACGUGCCAGCAGCCGCGGUAAUACGUAGGUGGCAAGCGUUAUCCGGAAUUAUUGGGCGUAAAGCGCGCGUAGGCGGUUUUUUAAGUCUGGUGUGAAAGCCCACGGCUCAACCGUGGAGGGUCAUUGGAAACUGGAAAACUUGAGUGCAGAAGAGGAAAGUGGAAUUCCAUGUGUAGCGGUGAAAUGCGCAGAGAUAUGGAGGAACACCAGUGGCGAAGGCGACUUUUCUGGGUCUGUAACUGACGCUGAUGUGCGAAAGCGUGGGGAUCAAACAGG
rnacentral:rRNA from 1 species